GACGAACGCUGGCGGCGUGCCUAAUACAUGCAAGUAGGACGCAGUUGCGAACGGGUGAGUAACGCGUAGGUAACUACCUAUUAGAGGGGGAUAACUAUUGGAAACGAUAGCUAAUACCGCAUACUAGUAGAUGGACCUGCGUUGUAUUAGCUAGUAGGUAGGGUAAUGGCCUACCUAGGCAACGAUACAUAGCCGACCUGAGUGAGGGAUCGGCCACACUGGAACUGGAACACGGCCCAGACUCCUACGGGAAGCAGCAGUAGGGGAUCUACGGCAAUGAGAGGAACCCUGACCGAGCAAAGCCGCGUGGGUGAAGGAGGUUUUCGGAUCGUAAAGCUCUGUUGUUAAGGAGGCGGUACUUAACCAGAAAGGGACGGCUAACUACGUGCCAGCAGCCGCGGUAGUAC
rnacentral:rRNA from 1 species